AGCUUUGCGCAGUGGCAGUAUCGUAGCCUAUGAGGUUUAUCCGAGGCGUGAUUAUUGCUGGUUGAAAACUUUACCCAAUACCCCGUCAUUGACGACUUGAAAUAUAGUCGGCGAUGGCAAUUUUUGACGGUCUCUCCGGAGA